rnacentral:lncRNA from 1 species
CUCACUUAAAUUGUGUUUUGCGCUUAAAGUCGCAACAGACUUGGAAUGCUUUUAGAGCUUUUCGCAUGUCACACUGGGUAGAGGGACGGGGCCAUCAACUUUUCGAUGGCUAUGGUUGGUCCUAAGGAUUGGCCCAGAUGUAUUUCUCAGCCAUUAUUAAAAAAAGGAAUUUCUAGAGGUUCGGUCAAUCUCAGUCCUAUCCCUACAAUGACAUAUAGAAGAGGGCCCAAUAUCUGGAAAUGAAGGAUGCAAUGUUGCCUUUAAUAUAC